CCGGCAUCCGAGAGGAGCAGUGAGAUGAAAUCGCGUCGCUGCCGCCAACCGGACGAAACGCGCAAACUUGACUCAGCAUCUUUGCGAGAGAAAAACCCGAACAAAGCGUGUGCUCCUGCCUGUUUUUUCGCCUCUUCUGGGCGAUUCUUGAAAAGAGGAUACACACCAGGGUCUCUGGGAGAGAGAAAGCUGUCGCGCUGACGCAGGAAAGGAGACAAAGUGUCUUUUUGCCUCUGGAGAAUUUCAGGCACCGAGGCAAACCGACCGCAACGCUGACCCUCGAAAGAGAGAAUGACAAAUGGUCCAAGCAUUGUGUCUCUUUCUGUUAAGGAAAGCGACAAAGGGGAGCGCAUGAGAGGGAGCUAUCUGCAGCCGUGAUUCUCUGGUGCACUUUGCAGCUCUCUCGUAUUGCGUUCACCAUUGUCCCAAUUACCUCAGUCGUGUCAGGUUUGAGCUUCUAUCCCGCCCAAUCUAAAAAGUUAUGGCUAUUUGUUUGAUGAGCGGGGUGGUUACGUGAGUCACGCUCUAUGCAAUCAGUGAAGAAUCUCUUGAUAUCCAUAUAGGGGGGAGGGGAGGCACGAAUAGCGCACAACGUUUUGGGGUCGGCACACGAAGGCUGUGAGUCCUUUGUUUACAGCUCGUGGCGUUACUUUUUCAGGGUCAAGUGCGGCUAUAUUCAGUCGUUCGAGUUCACACCGGUUUCAGAUGGUAUGACAUUUAGCAGUGCGCCUCUGAAAGUCCAAACGUC
rnacentral:lncRNA from 1 species